rnacentral:tRNA from 1 species
GGGCCGGUAGCUCAGCUUGGCUAGAGCACUCGACUGAUAAUCGAGAGGCCAAGGGUUCGAAUCCCUUCCGGCCCA